rnacentral:snRNA from 1 species
GUGCUCGCUUUAGCAGCACAUAUACUAACAUUGGAACGAUGCAGAGAAGAUUAGUAUGGCCCCUGCGCAAAGAUGACAUGCAAAUUCAUGAAGCGUUUCAAAAUUUU